rnacentral:rRNA from 1 species
CUACCUGCAGUCGGACGGUAGCACAGAGAGCUUGCUCUCGGGUGACGAGUGGCGGACGGGUGAGUAAUGUCUGGGGAUCUGCCCGAUAGAGGGGGAUAACCACUGGAAACGGUGGCUAAUACCGCAUAACGUCGCAAGACCAAAGAGGGGGACCUUCGGGCCUCUCACUAUCUGAUGAACCCAGAUGGGAUUAGCUAGUAGGCGGGGUAAUGGCCCACCUAGGCGACGAUCCCUAGCUGGUCUGAGAGGAUGACCAGCCACACUGGAACUGAGACACGGUCCAGACUCCUACGGGAGGCAGCAGUGGGGAAUAUUGCACAAUGGGCGCAAGCCUGAUGCAGCCAUGCCGCGUGUAUGAAGAAGGCCUUCGGGUUGUAAAGUACUUUCAGCGGGGAGGAAGGCGGU